UACAGAGGGGGCAAGCGUUGUUCGGAAUUACUGGGCGUAAAGGGCGCGUAGGCGGCCUUCUAAGUCGAACGCGAAAUCCCCGGGCUCAACCCGGGAACUGCGUCCGAUACUGGAAGGCUUGAAUCCGGGAGAGGGAUGUGGAAUUCCAGGUGUAGCGGUGAAAUGCGUAGAUAUCUGGAGGAACACCGGUGGCGAAGGCGGGUCUCUGGGCCGAUACUGACGCUGAGGAGCGAAAGCGUGGGGAGCGAACAGG
rnacentral:rRNA from 1 species